CGGAGUGUAGCUCAGCCCGGUAGAGCACUGCCUUCGGGAGGCAGGGGCCGGAGGUUCAAAUCCUCUCACUCCGACCA
rnacentral:tRNA from 1 species